rnacentral:rRNA from 1 species
AGUGAACGCUGGCGGUAGGCCUAACACAUGCAAGUCGAACGGCAGCACAGUAAGAGCUUGCUCUUACGGGUGGCGAGUGGCGGACGGGUGAGGAAUACAUCGGAAUCUACUUUUUCGUGGGGGAUAACGUAGGGAAACUUACGCUAAUACCGCAUACGACCUACGGGUGAAAGCAGGGGAUCUUCGGACCUUGCGCGAGUGAAUGAGCCGAUGUCGGAUUAGCUAGUUGGCGGGGUAAAGGCCCACCAAGGCGACGAUCCGUAGCUGGUCUGAGAGGAUGAUCAGCCACACUGGAACUGAGACACGGUCCAGACUCCUACGGGAGGCAGCAGUGGGGAAUAUUGGACAAUGGGCGCAAGCCUGAUCCAGCCAUACCGCGUGGGUGAAGAAGGCCUUCGGGUUGUAAAGCCCUUUUGUUGGGAAAGAAAAGCAGCAGGUUAAUACCCCGCUGUUCUGACGGUACCCAAAGAAUAAGCACCGGCUAACUUCGUA